GCCCCGGUAAACGGCGGCCGUAACUAUAACGGUCCUAAGGUAGCGAAAUUCCUUGUCGGGUAAGUUCCGACCUGCACGAAUGGCGUAAUGAUGGCCAGGCUGUCUCCACCCGAGACUCAGUGAAAUUGAACUCGCUGUGAAGAUGCAGUGUACCCGCGGCAAGACGGAAAGACCCCGUGAACCUUUACUAUAGCUUGACACUGAACAUUGAGCCUUGAUGUGUAGGAUAGGUGGGAGGCUUUGAAGUGUGGACGCCAGUCUGCAUGGAGCCGACCUUGAAAUACCACCCUUUAAUGUUUGAUGUUCUAACGUUGGCCCGUAAUCCGGGUUGCGGACAGUGUCUGGUGGGUAGUUUGACUGGGGCGGUCUCCUCCUAAAGAGUAACGGAGGAGCACGAAGGUUGGCUAAUCCUGGUCGGACAUCAGGAGGUUAGUGCAAUGGCAUAAGCCAGCUUGACUGCGAGCGUGACGGCGCGAGCAGGUGCGAAAGCAGGUCAUAGUGAUCCGGUGGUUCUGAAUGGAAGGGCCAUCGCUCAACGGAUAAAAGGUACUCCGGGGAUAACAGGCUGAUACCGCCCAAGAGUUCAUAUCGACGGCGGUGUUUGGCACCUCGAUGUCGGCUCAUCACAUCCUGGGGCUGAAGUAGGUCCCAAGGGUAUGGCUGUUCGCCAUUUAAAGUGGUACGCGAGCUGGGUUUAGAACGUCGUGAGACAGUUCGGUCCCUAUCUGCCGUGGGCGCUGGAGAACUGAGGGGGGCUGCUCCUAGUACGAGAGGACCGGAGUGGACGCAUCACUGGUGUUCGGGUUGUCAUGCCAAUGGCACUGCCCGGUAGCUAAAUGCGGAAGAGAUAAGUGCUGAAAGCAUCUAAGCACGAAACUUGCCCCGAGAUGAGUUCUCCCUGACUCCUUGAGGGUCCUGA
rnacentral:rRNA from 1 species